rnacentral:lncRNA from 1 species
AUCACUUCCGACUACCAGGGCGGUACAGAAGCCCCCCAGUCUUAAGCGAAGACUUGUCCAGCGAAAAGACUGAAAGAGUCACGUCAACACCGGUCUACGUGGCACUGACGCAGAAUUCCAAGCGGUUGUACUUUCUGCUGCUCUGACGCUCCACCAAACCCCUCGUCCAUCACUCGACACGUGGCUUCAUCAACGGUUACCUUCAGUUAUCGUUUGCGCUUCCCAAACCCAUUUUCGAAAAAACUCUUAAACCCAUUUUCACUCAACACUGUUCCAUCACUUUCCCUCGCAUUCACGAACGCUCUCAC